UAUACCGAUUCUUAGUUCCAU
ensembl:piRNA 21ur-2698 ncRNA